rnacentral:rRNA from 1 species
UACGGAGUGUGCAAGCGUUACUCGGAAUCACUGGGCAUAAAGCGCACGUAGGCGGAAAGGUGUGUCGGUGGUGAAAUCCCCCAGCUCAACUGGGGAACAGCUUCCGAAACUGCUUUUCUUGAGGACGAGAGGGGAGAGUGGAACUUCUGGUGGAGCGGUGAAAUGCGUAGAUAUCAGAAGGAACACCGGUGGCGAAAGCGACUCUCUGGCUCGUAACUGACGCUGAGGUGCGAAAGCUUGGGUAGCAAACAGG